UGUGAUCGUGCAGCCGUGGUGGUGUUGUGAUAAAAUCUGCCAUGCUGUAUAUUUACAGUACAUAAUCCCGGGUGAAGUAGUUUUAUAUUCUUCCUCCCGACACCAUCCAUCCAUUCAUGCAGUGCGGCGUGUGUAAGCAUUGAUUCAUAUGUGAUUGGUCACAUAAGUCACAGUCUCGGGGGGGCAUUUCAUCACUGACAGACAAGCUAAUCUAAAAUCCCCCAAUUUACAAAUGAAAAUCCCACCAUCCAAUUGAGCUAAUAGAGGGACUUGAAUGGGAUAAUAAGAUGUGGUGUAAUACUGUGUAAAAAGCCUGUAAUGUUGUGUUGGUGUAAGAGCCUGUGUGACUGAAUGUUUGACUGUUUGCAGUGAUUACGGCGGCCUGCGGGCCUGGCGGCGGCUCUGUGGCUGGGACAGGGAGCUUCUCCCUGGGCAGGGAGAUACGCCUGUCUCCCCCUUCCGCUGGAGCUACAGGGACCAGGAUCAUGUCAGUAGGGAGAGUCCUUCCUGUGAGCUCCCUCUCUCCCUCUGUCUUUCAAUCUGUCUGUCUGUCUCUCUCUCUUGUUGCUCUGUGUCUGUACUAUUGCAGUGCUUGCAGAUGUGCACAAACAAGGGAGGAUUAAAGCAAAACGAAUCUAAACAGACAAACGGAAUUAGAGUGAUGGGUGUCGGUGGGCUGGUUCACAGUGAUAAACAUAAUGAUGCUCUGUGAGUGUGUGUGCAAGUGUGUGUGUGUGUGUGUUCCUGUGUCUGGGGGAUUAACGAUGGUUAGGUGUGUGGUGUGUAUGGCUGGGUGACUGCUUCUGGGUGUCUUUGUGUGUUUGCCUAUCUGUCUAUGUUUUUGUAAUUACGUGUGUGUAUAUUUACUCAGUUCCUACUUGUGUGUCUGAUAAAUGUGUUCUUCUAUAUUGCCUCUCAAAAACAAGUCUCUGUGCCCUCUGCAUGCAUGAAGGUAUGUUUCUGUGUCCCCCCCCCGUUGUUUGGGGUCAUACUUCUUUCUUUCACAGUGUCUGUUUGUGUUUGUUCACUGGUGCUGCCUAAGCCUGUUGUGGCUCCACUGCACAUAAAAUGUCCUCACCCGCUAUUGACAUACACCUAGGAAGAUGAGAAAACGUUUGUGGAAUAUGAAGAUGUCGCACACUAAGUUGGUUUUUCAGUCUGCAGUUUAUGUGCAGAUGUUGUGUUUUCUUGUGUGUGUGUGUGUUUGUGUGUUGAGGAGGUCAGGAGUGUGGUGGAGCCAGCAGGGGGGCAGUGAUCAACAGUCUGGGGGCUCCCCUGCCGGGGGCUCUGGGAUUACGGCUAAACCCUGGCCUGCCAGAUGGACACAACGCGUCCUCAACAUCACACACAAGCACCUUUUAGGACUUCGCUUGCCCAGUCCUCCUCUGUGGAAACGAGAGCGGUGGCAGGAGAAAUGACUGAGAUGAAGGAACUCUUCCAAGUGUCGGCUCGCGGACAAUGUGGCCAGUCAGCAGGUUCCAGGGUUGUCGAAAAAUGAAACUCGCAGGUUGUUUUGAUGUGCUGUAAUGGCAGAGCCACGGGCAACACUGACAUGAUGGAGUCUGUGCAGCCUCAAACCAGCACCUUUUCACCAGAACCGGGGACAGAGACCAGAGCCGGGGACAGAGGCGCUGGGCAGCGCCCGCUGCUCGACAACAACACGCAGGAGGGAUUAAUGCCGCGUCUGUUGGUCCCAUAUGCUCCUCGGCGCUGCUCUGCUCUUGAUUAAAAACUCAUUCUGAAAGUGACCCUGCAGUGUGACACACUCCCCCCCAUAACUACAGUCUGGAUGGAGGACACUGGAAGAGGAGACACGCAGCUCAUGAAUAUUCACGCUCUUUGUCCCACAAGUCCAGUCCCCGUCAUUGUUCAUGCUCACGUGAGUGUUGAUAAACUGACCGUUGCGUUUCGCCACAAUGGUCAUCGAUGAAUUUAAUAUAUAUAUAUAUAUAUAUAUAUAUAUAUAUAUAUGAAUAAAAGUGGAUGAGUCAAAAGAGCAUAUAAAGAAACAAACAACUAUUUAUUCUUCUCUAUUGACUAAGUCAGGGUCUAUAUUGAAAAAUAUUACAGUGGCACACGCGCGCGCGCACACCUGUUUGCGCGAGCAGGCAAUGGAAUCAAAGCCACUCUACUUCUCUUGAACGCUUCGAUUAUUCCAAGCAACGCUUUUAAUUAGUGCGCUCCUUUAGCGGAGGCUGCAAUGUAAGAGAGAUUAUUGGCAAAUGUCAAGGAUGCUAAUUGAAUGUUGGACUUCUAACAAUUAGGCCACUGUGGAGACAUGUCGCCUCAUUACAGGGUCCAGGGCCGCGCUGACGUCACGUCGACCGUUUUAAUAUAGUAAAUAAAUACAUAAAUCGAUCAAAACACAACCCUAGUAAUAUGCCGAUGUGAAAAGUAAAAGGAGAGAAUGCAAAUGAUCCACUUCUUAUAAGUGAGCGCGUGUUUUAAAGGCAUCUCUUCGCCUCACUACACAAAUAAUGUCACAUGGACACUAUGGGGUUCAGUUUCGAAUUUAAUGUUGCAAGGCCCCCCCCCCCACAAUCUUUCUCUUUUCUUUCAGAAAACACGCAGUAAACAUCAAAUCAAUGAAAAGUGGUGCCUGAUUUGUUUCCCUCCUGUUGAAUUAACUGACAUGACAGAUAGAGUUAUAAUCUUUUAAAACAGUUCACAUUUGAACCAAACGUGUUUUAUUGUUUGGGGGCCGAAUAUCGUGAUGUGAUUAAAGGCUUGAUAUUAAAGCGCACAUGUGGGGAUCAGACUUGUUAAAGCCCGUGUGGUUGGCUUUGAAAGGAGACCGCUGCUGCCCCAGAGGGGGGAAGAAAAAAAAAACCCACCCCGCCGCUAAAAUAUUGGGAUUAACAUCUCUUGGAGGCCGGGAUUAAAACACAAAGCGCCCUCUUUGUUGAAACAACAACCGGAAACUAAGGAGAAAAAAAACACAAUUAAUUCUAGAAUCAGUAAAAAAUGUGAUCCUACAUGUAAAGAUGUUUUAUUUUUUAUUGUAUUUUAGAACUAAUUUUGUUUUGUUUUAAGUUAAAACACGGUUUAUUUCAUCUUCACUGAAAUUCAUAGAAGCACGAGGAGACAUUGCCAAUAUAGGCUAUAGUAUAAUCUUAUUGUACUGUUUUUUUUUCUUCAGUUAAAAUACCCAUACAUAACUGGGUCACCCAGUGUUUCUGUUUUCCACAGUCAAAUCCUAGAUGGUGGAAAUAAAAAAUAAAUAAGUCGAAAUUUUCCCUGAACCCCAAACAAAUCAAAUAAUAAAAAAGAAACCGUCUCUCUGUCCCUCGCGCACACACACGUACACACACACACACACACUGAUGAAAGAGUAUAAUCUCACUGCAGGACCUUUAUUCGUGUCUUUUCAGCGGUGAGGUCACACCAUCUUUGGGGCCACAAUCACCGUGUACUGAGAUAAAUGGAGGGAGGGGGAGGAAAAAAAAGCGGAGCUCUCGGCAGCAGCAGAGAGUCUUUUCCAGUGUAUGGCUAAACCUUGAUCAUCAUCAUCAUCAUCAUCAUCAUUAUUAAUAUUAUCAUUGUUACUUCAGAAGUCUCGUGUCUCUCUUUGUGGUGGAACCAUGGGCGUCUUUUAAAGUCACAGCAGAGACGAGAGAGUGUGGCGCGAGGGGGAGGCUCACAAAUUGCAUACAAUACAACAGAUCACAGUUUCCAAGUCUAGCACAGAUAAAAAAAAACAAAAAAAAACACAUAUGUACCAUUUAUAUAAGACACACACUGAUUGUCUCUUAGAAACUACAUAUUGAUUCCUUAUAAACACUUUUUUUUCUUAAAUAAAGUAGUGCAUCCAUGUCCACGCACCAUCCUCGCGCAUGUGUCCGUGCCAGCAGGUCGGCAAAAGCUGCAUGAGUAAGAAGAAGAAGAAGAAGAAGAAGCAGAGAAGGGUUUCUGUUCAUGAGCUCGAGUUCAAUUCGUGGAUAAACAUUAGGUUCCGUGGCUCUUGUGGUGUUUUUUUUUUUCUUUUGUCUCGGGAGUUCACUCUGCGUUUUCAUCAACAGGUGUUUUUACGCACAGAGGCGCGCGCUGUCA